UCACGCGUUAUCUCUAUCAAUCAAGCAAAUCUGGCGAGGUAAAAAGGAACAAUGGCCUUGAGAGAAGCAUGGAGAAUCUGGCGAACUUCUAGAUAACUCUGGUUCCAGUCGCUAACGGAGAUGGAGUGGUCUUGGAGAUAGAGAAGACACUCACCGUGGUUCGAGACGUGCGCAGCCUUGAGGAGAUUAGCUAUGGAAGAGUCUCCGUCGCCAAGUAGAUCAUUGAUGAAGUUAGUUUUGAUCUUCAAACGUCCACCGGCGAGCCUCCUUUGGUAGGUGCCAACUCCUAAACCGUAGAGUUUGAGUCCGGUUGAGAGAUUGAGGAAACGGUGGAGAGGCGUCGGAAGUCGGUAGAAGAAGCGGAGAACAACGAUGAGAACCGAUCCUCCAACGCACACCUGAAGGAGACAUACGCGAUUCUUCUUCCACUGAAUGGAUAUCCCAGCGACGAGCUCAUUGCGAAGGAUUCUCUCGGAGUGAACAGAUUCCACGUUACGGAUCCAGUCUUCUACGGCGGCGCAAGUCUUGGCUACGGUGACCGUGAAGACUCCACCACCGAAACGCACUUGGUAGAUUUUAUCCACCUCCAUUGUCUUGAUUGCCAUUGAGAGAGAACGAAGAUGAAGUUGGAAGAGAUGGAGAUGGAAAAUUUUUGAGUUUCGAAACUUGCUGGAUCUGAUUUUUCUUCGUUCAUGGAGAGAGGAUGGGUUUUUAUACAACAUAGCGGGAGACGGAACUGAAAGAAAAUUCCAUCCAUGAUUUGAAUUUAGAUUUAGCAUAAUGCAUCUUUUGGAAUCCGUAACAGAAUCGAUCAGUGUAGCUCAACACUACUACUGCUUCUUCAUGACUUGGACAUGACACGUGGGCGUUUUUAAUUGCUCUCUCUUCUGUGAGUUGUAUCAUGGCAAAAGGGAUGGGAAACUGCAUCCGUGCAAAAUCUUGAAGAUAGUAACAACAGAUGGGUCUAGUAAACCUCAGUCAAAGUUUUCAGGUUUUUGUAUGCUCAGAGCAAGCGGUACCACUUUGUAGUAAGAUAUGUAGUUCCGGGGGCGACUACGAUGACCAGAGCAAAGUGCAAAGGAGAAGCUUGAUAAAUGUAUCAAAGAAAAGUUGAUUGAUUACUGUGAUGUUCUUGAUAUACCCAGAAACAAAAGUAAUGUGAAAAAGAAGAACUUGCUGUAAGAGGGCUUGAAUAUCCAAGGCACCAAGGGAUAUUGUCCUUGCUGAUAGUGAAAAGAAAACCAAAUAUCGCAAGAAGUGCACACCCGAAAGCGCGACUUCUGAAGAGUCGUUAGAUGUCCCAGCCAAGGUUUGUAGUUUUUUUACUUUCCUCUACUUUAUAGUUUGUAACCAUUGAUUGACAUGAAUUGUUUCUUUUAGCUCCCGUCUGGUAAAACUAGCUCCUUUUCUAGUUUUGUAAUCAAGUUUGUUGUUAUGAACCAUGUGGUCUUAUUGAUAUGAGUAGCUUUGUCUGCGCUCCCUUGUUGAUUCUCGAACUCAGAACUUUACCUCAGAAGUUCUGCAAUUCACUCUCUGGAUCGAUUUCCGGAUUGCAUCAAAUAGUUUUAUAUGUCUUAUUGUUAGUUUUCUUGGUCCAAAUGGAGAUGUGAAAUCUCUCCUGGCACACACAUGAACUAUGAGAUACAUGUUUACAAAUCAUUCUAAGUCUCUGUUGUUGAGUUUUGUGCUUGAGCUAGAUUCUUGUACCUGGAAAACAUGGAUAGUACAGAUGGGUUCUUGUUCUUUAGCUGUUUCAAGCUUUCACACGAGUCUAUAGCCAUCGCAUCAUGAGUGUCUCCUAAUUGUGUAUCCGAAGAGAAGACAUGAGACGAUGAUGAUGAUGACAGAUUCUCCUCACCCUCAGUUUCUGAUGAAGCCUCCAGUCUCGUUGACCCUUGCUUAAGCUUCAGCAGAGUUGAAUCUACAGUGUAAAAGAUCUUGAAAUCGAGCUUGACGAGGGUUUAACACUAAAUCUGAAAUUGGAAAGAGUGUGAAUUUGUACAGUGGACGGAGAGAGGAUCGUCUUUUAUGAUCUUCGCCGGAUAUCUCUCCACACUCCGGCAGUGGUUUCAGCCUCCCAAACAUAUUUCUCUCUCCCUAGCUCUGAUCGUCUUCUUUUAACUUUUUUUUUUGUUCUUUGCU